rnacentral:rRNA from 1 species
ACGCAGCAACGCCGCGUGGGUGAUGAAGGUCUUCGGAUUGUAAAGCCCUGUCUUCAAGGACGAUAAUGACGGUACUCGAGGAGGAAGCCACGGCUAACUACGUGCCAGCAGCCGCGGUAAUACGUAGGUGGCAAGCGUUGUCCGGAUUUACUGCGCGUAAAGAGUGU